CACAAACACAGAGAGAAAGAGAGAGAGAGAGAGAGAGAGAGAGGAAAUCCCGCUGUCACUAAUGGAGUUUGCCGCCCUGCGAGCUUAAGCGGAAUUAGCAUACUGUCAAGUCAAAUUAAUCACUGACUGUCAAAUUUCCCUAAAACACUUUUCAGGCUAAUACAGAUUAGUCCAUUUAAGAGCCCAGCAGCCCACCUGUCCUGUUUUCCAUCCAACACAAUCUAAUCUAAGCCUGUUUGUUAACCUACAUUCUAAAUAUACAGUUGGCUGUAUACAGGGGGAUGCUACUGUGUGACUGGGUAGGCAGCAGAUCACUCACAGUUUGUGGGAGUCUACUGUACCUGAGAAGAGACAUUUUAUUUUUUUGUGAGUUUCAAUAGAACAGGUUUCAUAAUGUUCAGGGUAAACAAAUAGUUUGAGGGGACUUCAUAACCAUACUGUCCGUCUGUCCAUCCUUCUUUCUGUCUGUCCUUCCGUCCGAGCAGAUCUGACUAAUGUUUGUGUUGUUGGGCCAUUUUCCAUGAAAACAAGCAGGAUGUGAAAAUGAUAAAAUGAUGACUCAGACAAACAAACGAACCAGACUAUUUAUUGUCUGACUUCUAUUGAACGAUUUCUGGGAAACUGAGUCUGAAGGACAACUAAUGAAAAACAUAUUUACAUCCCACAAACCUGAUGGGGAGUCAGAAUACAUAAGCCAAACAAUAUGAGUUGUGGUAGGAAAUGUAGACACACCUGUACUUCAUGUACUCCCUGUAUCAUUCAUCGACAAAAGAUAGGCUGUGUCAUUCAUAUGAACUACUUUCAUGUUUCCACUGGCUUAACUGGUUUAAACGUUUGUCCAAGACCGGAUGUAACCUUGGUGACCAGGGUCAUAUAACAGCGUGAUUGCUGUUUAGGGAAUUGUGUUGUUGGGGACAUGUAUUCACCCUGUGCAUCAUCAUUGCCCCCUAGUGGUUAUAAUUAGAAAUGACUGAGACGGUGGUAUUGUUUCCUCAGCCCUUCCUUCCUCUAUUCCUUACCUCCCUCUCAAAGCUUAUUGGAGGUCCUAGGGAGGGGUCUUGGAUCCUCCCCGUGUACAACUGGACAAUAAAGUAAUCUCCUCCUCCUGCUCCUCUUCCUCCCAGUUCAGUUUCUCCUUUGUGGAGACACACACGGUGCGAGCUGUGAGGCUUCGCCCCCGCUCUCAGAGGAGCUGGUCUGACGAUGUCUGCGAGGACAACGGAGAGUGUGAAUCUAAGAACACACCCAUAAUCUCCUCAGAGGGGACCUAGCCUUGGAACGUAAACGGAGACCUACGGGAGGUGCCCUCAGAGCUACUCAUCAGGAUAGAUCCCCAACUCCCGACCCUGUUUGUUUCACCACCAGGAUAGAUCCCCAACUCCCGACCCUGUUUGUUUCACCACCAGGAUAGAUCCCCAACUCCCGACCCUGUUUGUUUCACCACCAGGAUAGAUCCCCAACUCCCGACCCUGUUUGUUUCACCACCAGGAUAGAUCCCCAACUGCUGACCCUGUUUGUUUCACCACCAGGAUAGAUCCCCAACUCCCGACCCUGUUUGUUUCACCAGCAGGGUACAUCCUCAACUCCUGACCCUGUUUGGAGGGGACAUCGAGGAGGCAGAGGAGGCACACAUCAAGUGCAGCUGCAUUUAACACUGUCUGUAGAGUGGAAUCGAUACCAUUUAAAACUGUGUAAAGGGUGGAGGAGUCUUAACACAUAUCAACCUGCACUGCCACUGAAUGUAACAAACAGGAUUUCCUACUGCACUCUAGAAGAAACAGUCUUCAGUUUACAGACUGUCUACAGUUAAAACUGUCUACAAGAGAGGAGUAUAUAGACACAACCUAAAAUGGUCUCCAUGUAGAGUUGAUCUAUUAUGCAGAACCUCAGGUUGCACUGCCACUGAAUGUUACCGACAGGCAUGACUACUGUACGACACUGUGAAUGUUAAACAUCAAAUAACCAAUGACAGACAGACACAUUAAAUAGAAAAAGUUCAUUUUUACACGCCACACACUUAUUUAUUAAAAAUAAAAUAAUUAUUUUAUUUUAUUGAAAUUCAAAUUGGAAUGUGCCCCCUUUAUUUUUGUCAUAACUGACAACUUGGUCAGGAAAGGUUGACUCCCUGAAUUAACUGUCCUGAACCUUAAAAUACAAGCAGUAAAAACAUGUUACUAAUCCUCAUUCAACAACAUCAUCAUCAUCAUCAUCAUCAUCAUCAAGGCAUACCACAUCUCCUAAACCUGAAUGUUCCAAUCCCUUACAGCUGCAGUAAGAACACAAUCCACUAAUUCCAAAGAUUCCAACAGAGAAUCCAAAGGGAUGAAAAUGUAAAAAUGGGAAGGUCAGUGUUCCGUAUGUUUCAUUUAAGUCCUGGCAUGUCUGCUAUGCCUUGAGCAACAUUUCUGAGUCACUGAAGAACCAGCUUUUACAUUUUUUUUUCUGACUGCAUUGAAAACUUCUGCAUUUCAAAGUUGCUCCAAACAUCACAUUUCAAAGUGUUUUGUUGCUCCAGCUGCUCUGUAUCGUUCCAUGUCUCCAAACGUCAAAUUUGGACGUUAUGGUCCGAAUGGUUAAGGUAAUGGUUAAGGUAAUGGUUAAGGUAAUGGUUAAGGUUUGGGAUAGGGUUAAAACAUUACGUUUAGGCACUCCUUCCAAAUGGUUAGGUAAGGGUUCAUGUUGGGGAUAGGGUAAAACAUUACGUUUAGGCACUCCUUCCAAAUGGUUAGGUAAGGGUUCAUGUUGGGGAUAGGGUAAAACAAUUAUAAAAAGGCAUUUCUUGACAUCCUCUGGACAUAGAUAAAUGUCCAAUUUCGACGUCAAUCUUGAACGACCUGACUGGUAUGAGUUGCUCACACACACACACACUCUGUUGUUCCCCUCUAAUCAGGGACUGAUUUAGACCUGGGACAUCAGGUGGGUGCAAUUCAUUAUCAGGUAGAACAGAUAACCAGCAGGCUCUGGACCUCGUAGGGUAAGAGUUGAAUACACCUGCUCUAGAGGGUCACACACACACACACACACACACACACACACACACACACACACACACACACACACACACACACACACACACACACACACACACACACACACACACACACACACACACAGGGUGCUGUCCCCUUGAGGAGUGUGUCAUUCAUGUGUCAUUCAGUGAGUUGAGUGACACCCAACAACAGCCCCUUUUUUUCACAGAUGACACUACACUGUCCUCCUCAUCCUUCUGUUCUUCAGUUCUAUACUACAUAAAUAAGCUUAAACUUCUGUCCCAUCCACUUCUAUAUAUAUAUAUAUAUAUAUAUACACUUCUAUUGAUGAUAUAGAUUUGACAUAUAGAUGUGUAUAUAUCGAUAUACACUCAAUGGCCAGGUUAUUAGUUACACCCAUCUAGUACCGGGUCGGACCUCACUUUGCCUCCAGACACACCUGAAUUCUUUGGGGCAUGGAAACGUUGCUCAAUUGGUAUCAAGGGACCUAAAGUGUGCCAGGAAAACAUUUCCAUCACCAUUACACCACCGCCACCAGCCUGUACCGUUGACACAAGGCAGGAGGAGGCAAUGGAUUCAUGCUGCUUAUGCCAAAUCCUGACUCUGCCAUCAGCAUGAUGUAACAGGAACCGGGAUUCGUCGAACCAGGCAAUGUUUUUCCACUCAUCAGUUGUCCAGUGUUGGUGAUCGCGUGCCCACUGGAGCCACUUGUUCUUGUUUUUAGCUGAUAGGAGUGGAACCCGGUGCGGUCGUCUGCUGCAAUAGCCCAUCCGUGACAAUGUUCUGAGAUGCUGUUGUACUGCGUCAUUAUUUACUUGUUUGUGGCCCACCUCUUAGCUUGCA